GAGGUGAGGAACCAGCCAACGCUCACCCGCUCGCCCUUGCCCGUCAUAACAAAGUACAGGAUGAGGAUGGUGGCUGCGGCCGUGAAGAGCCCCAGGAAAGUCGAUGUCACCACUGUGCGUAUUUGGGCCGCCAUUUUGCAGGACACUCACCAAAUUGAAGGCGUAAUUCUAUUUUCUCGGCGACAGGUGACUUCGUGCGAAAAAAAAUCACAAUCACAUGACGUUUCUCUAUUCACAUGAUAUCAGUGUGGCCGUCGAGUUUUUCGAUAAAAUAUACGGUCUGACCGUUAGAAAUAUACCGGAAUGUACAAAAUAUACCGUAAUAUACUGAC